rnacentral:rRNA from 1 species
UGGGGAAUAUUGGACAAUGGGGGCAACCCUGAUCCAGCAAUGCCGCGUGUGUGAAGAAGGCCUGAGGGUUGUAAAGCACUUUCAGUGGGGAGGAGGAUUGAUAGGUUAAGAGCUAAUUAAUUGGACGUUACCCACAGAAGAAGCACCGGCUAACUCCGUGCCAGCAGCCGCGGUAAUACGGAGGGUGCAAGCGUUAAUCGGAAUUACUGGGCGUAAAGGGUGCGUAGGUUGUUAAUUAAGUUAUCUGUGAAAUUCCCGGGCUUAACCUGGGACGGUCAGAUAAGACUGGUUAACUCGAGUAUAGGAGAGGGUAGUGGAAUUUCCGGUGUAGCGGUGAAAUGCGUAGAGAUCGGAAGGAACACCAGUGGCGAAGGCGGCUACCUGGCCUGAUACUGACACUGAGGCACGAAAGCGUGGGGAGCAAACAGA